rnacentral:rRNA from 1 species
GACGAACGCUGGCGGCGUGCUUAACACAUGCAAGUCGAACGGAAAGGCCCUGCUUUUGUGGGGUGCUCGAGUGGCGAACGGGUGAGUAACACGUGAGUAACCUGCCCUUGACCUUGGGAUAACUUCAGGAAACUGGGGCUAAUACCGGAUAGGAGCUCCUGCUGCAUGGUGGGGGUUGGAAAGUUUCGGCGGCUGGGGAUGGACUCGCGGCUUAUCAGCUUGUUGGUGGGGUAGUGGCUUACCAAGGCUUUGACGGGUAGCCGGCCUGAGAGGGUGACCGGCCACAUUGGGACUGAGAUACGGCCCAGACUCCUACGGGAGGCAGCAGUGGGGAAUAUUGCACAAUGGGCGGAAGCCUGAUGCAGCAACGCCGCGUGCGGGAUGACGGCCUUCGGGUUGUAAACCGCUUUCGCCUGUGACGAAGCGUGAGUGACGGUAAUGGGUAAAGAAGCACCGGCUAACUACGUG